UGGGGAAUAUUCCGCAAUGGGCGCAAGCCUGACGGAGCAACGCCGCGUGAGGGAGGAAGGCCUUUGGGUUGUAAACCUCUUUUCUCAAGGAAGAAGAUCUGACGGUACUUGAAGAAUAAGCAUCGGCUAACUCC
rnacentral:rRNA from 1 species